rnacentral:snRNA from 1 species
GGAUGUGAGGGCGAUGUGGCUGCAACAUCUGUCACCCCAUUGAUCGCCAGGGUUGAUUCGGCUGAUCUGGCUGGCGAGGCGGGUGUCCCCUUCCUCCCUCACUGCUCCCUGUGCAUCCUUCCCGAAGCUGCGCACUCGGUCGAAGAGGACGACCUUCCCCGAUAGAGGAGAGGACCGUUCUUCGGUCAAGGGUAUACGAGUAGCUGCGCUCCCCUGCUAGAACCUCCAAACAAGAUCUCAAGAGUACACAUCUUGAUGAGCAGUGUGUAAGACAUGAAAUGGUGAAAUCAUGAUACUAUACACCUGAAACAAACAAGUAUAUUAA